rnacentral:rRNA from 1 species
AUUGAACGCUGGCGGCAGGCUUAACACAUGCAAGUCGGGCGGGGUGAUGGUGCUUGCACUAUCACUUAGCGGCGGACGGGUGAGUAAUGCUUAGGAAUCUGCCUAUUAGUGGGGGACAACAUCUCGAAAGGGAUGCUAAUACCGCAUACGUCCUACAGGAGAAAGCAGGGGAUCACUUGUGACCUUGCGCUAAUAGAUGAGCCUAAGUCGGAUUAGCUAGUUGGUGGGGUAAAGGCCUACCAAGGCGACGAUCUGUAGCGGGUCUGAGAGGAUGAUCCGCCACACUGGGACUGAGACACGGCCCAGACUCCUACGGGAGGCAGCAGUGGGGAAUAUUGGACAAUGGGGGGAACCCUGAUCCAGCCAUGCCGCGUGUGUGAAGAAGGCCUUAUGGUUGUAAAGCACUUUAAGCGAGGAGGAGGCUCUUUUGGUUAAUACCCAAGAUGAGUGGACGUUACCCGCAGAAUAAGCACCGGCUAACUCUGUGCCAGCAGCCGCAGUAA